CGGAUGUGGCUCAGUUGGUAGAGCAUAACCUUGCCAAGGUUAGGGUCGCGGGUUCGAGUCCCGUCAUCCG
rnacentral:tRNA from 1 species